AUUGAACGCUGGCGGCAGGCUUAACACAUGCAAGUCGAGGGGCUGAAGGGAGGUUGCUCCCGGUUUCAGUGGCGGACGGGUGAGUAGUGCCUAGGAGUCUACCUACCUGUGCGGGAUAAAGGCCGUAAACGGGCGCUAGUACCGCAUACGUCCUGUGUUGGAAAGUGUGGGAUAUUCGUACCGGACGCUGUCAGAGGAGCCUGGGUCGGAUUAGCUAGUUGGUGGGGUAAAGGCCUACCAAGGCGACGAUCCGUAACUGGUCUGAGAGGAUGAUCAGUCACACUGGAACUGAGACACGGUCCAGACUACUACGGGAGGCAGCAGUGGGGAAUAUUGGACAAUGGGCGAAAGCCUGACCGAGCCAUGCCGAGUGUGUGAAGAAGGUCUUCGGAUUGUAAAGCUCUGUUAGUUGGGAGGAAGGGAAGUGUGUUCAACUGUUGAUGUUUUGACGGUACCAAAUGAAUAAGCACCGGCUAACUUCGUG
rnacentral:rRNA from 1 species